rnacentral:tRNA from 1 species
AGGAUAUUAGUAAACCAAUUACACAGCCUUGUCAAGACUGAAUCGCAGAUGAAAACCCUGCAUAUCCUA